GGGGGGGCGGGGAGGUCCGUGCACUUCUCACUGCAGGGAGAGACGGGUGUGGCAGGAGGGGCCAGAGUGGAGCCAAGUUCAGGGAUAGCAGGUCCCUUGAGGCUCCUCUCCUUUCCCUGUGACACCUGAGCAUCUUCACAACGAGCUUGGCUGAAGGGAACCUUGUCUCAAGGGCACUCGGUUUCUUCCUGGAGAAUGUAAACCUCAGUGUUGCAGUUACUGGAGCUGGUGACCCUGGAGCUCAGAGGGGAUUAAGUGGUCUGUCAGAAAGAGUCAGAGCCCUGCUUAGAAAAGUCAGCUGACUGCCUACCUUUCCUCCAGAUGCCUCUUUCUCCUCUUCUGCCUUUCAAAGAAGCAGUAGUUGCCCCUACUAUGGAAGUCAGGAGAAAAGAGGUAGGAAGGAGAGGAGGUGAGUGCCAUCAUCGGGGGAGACACUUCCUGGCAUAGAAGAAAGAACCCUAAGUAAAGAUCUGCUGAUCUUACAUGAGUCCCUUCCCACCUCUGGGCCUUAGUUUUCCCAUCUGAAAAAUGAGUUUAGUGGUCGGUGUGAUGUUAUGAAAUCUUGGUAGAAGCUCAGCUUGGAUUUUGCUCCUUACCUUCUAGAUGGGGACCCCAAAGGGAAAGGGCUUUCUCAAGACCAAAUGGGAAAUUGGAGGCAGACCAAACAUAACUUUCAGGCCCACUCCUCAUGACCCCUCCAUCCCCCAAGUCAGAACAUUACUUUUUGUCUUCACUCAAAGCCAUGGGGAGCAUUUCAGGGUUUUUAGUCCAGAACAGAGCCCUGGUUCUCUGCUGGGGGAUUGGGGUGUCUUCUUGGCUUUGCAAGUCCCUUUCCAUUUCCAGGCCUCAGCCUCCACGUCUGUACAACAAAGGGGCUGGAUGAGAUGACCUUUCAGAUCCCCCUUAUUUUGGCUUUGACAUUCCACAUUGUCAUCCACUUUCUAAGUUCCUCAAUUGGCUAUAGCUUUAUAUUUUGGGGAAGGAGGUCUAGCUCCUGUUUCCAAACUGUAACAAUCUCUUCUAACUCCUUUGUGCUCAGUAAGAUGCUCUUACUGAGCAUCUGCCAUGAUCAGUGCCCAGGACUGGGCCCUAUUGGGGAAUAUGUAUGGAAUAUACUUAUUGAAUCCACUAUGUGCCUGGUCCUGGGCUUGGUAUUGGCAUAACUUCAUGGAACUUGGAAAUAAUACUUGGGGAAUAAAUAAAAUAAAUAAAAGCCAAUUCAUUCAACAGCUUCUUCUGGGGUACCUACUGUGUGUCUGUCCCUAUACUCAGCAUUAUGUAGGAUAGUAGUAACACAUAUGAAUACAAACUAUGUACUGAGCCCUUCAGGGUUUAAGUGCAUGGUGAAUGAGACUUUCCCAUUGCGUGGGAAUAGCCCAUCAUGAAGUAAAAGGAUAGGCAGAAAGGACCUGUGUUAUAAAGAAU